GGAGGUAUAGCUCAGUGGUAGAGUGUAUGCUUAGCACUCCUGGGUUCAAUCACCAGUACCUCCA
rnacentral:tRNA from 1 species